GACGAACGCUGGCGGCGUGCUUAACACAUGCAAGUCGAACGGAAAGGCCCUGCUUGCAGGGUACUCGAGUGGCGAACGGGUGAGUAACACGUGGGUGAUCUGCCCUGCACUUCGGGAUAAGCCUGGGAAACUGGGUCUAAUACCGGAUAGGAGCCAUUUUUAGUGUGAUGGUUGGAAAGUUUUUUCGGUGUAGGAUGAGCUCGCGGCCUAUCAGCUUGUUGGUGGGGUAAUGGCCUACCAAGGCGGCGACGGGUAGCCGGCCUGAGAGGGUGGACGGCCGCAUUGGGACUGAGAUACGGCCCAGACUCCUACGGGAGGCAGCAGUGGGGAAUAUUGCACAAUGGGCGCAAGCCUGAUGCAGCGACGCCGCGUGGGGGAUGACGGCCUUCGGGUUGUAAACUCAUUUCGCUAGGGACGAAGCUUUUUGUGACGGUACCUAGAUAAGAAGCACCGGCUAACUACGUG
rnacentral:rRNA from 1 species